CCUACGGGAGGCAGCAGUAAGGAAUAUUGGUCAAUGGACGCAAGUCUGAACCAGCCAUGCCGCGUGAAGGAUUAAGGUCCUCUGGAUUGUAAACUUCUUUUAUCUGGGACGAAAAAAGGCGAUUCUUCGUCACUUGACGGUACCAGAUGAAUAAGCACCGGCUAACUCCGUGCCAGCAGCCGCGGUAAUACGGAGGGUGCAAGCGUUAUCCGGAUUCACUGGGUUUAAAGGGUGCGUAGGCGGGCAGGUAAGUCAGUGGUGAAAUCCUAGAGCUUAACUCUAGAACUGCCAUUGAUACUAUCUGUCUUGAAUAUUGUGGAGGUAAGCGGAAUAUGUCAUGUAGCGGUGAAAUGCUUAGAUAUGACAUAGAACACCUAUUGCGAAGGCAGCUUACUACGCAUAUAUUGACGCUGAGGCACGAAAGCGUGGGGAUCAAACAGGAUUAGAUACCCUGGUAGUCCACGCCCUAAACGAUGAUUACUCGACAUUUGUGAUACACUAUAAGUGUNUGAGNGAAGACAUAAGUAAUACACCNGGAGUACGACCGCGAGUUAGAACGUACGAAAGAAGUAGACGGACGUGAGACGNGCCGACGGACGACGACGAGGGGAGGAGGG
rnacentral:rRNA from 1 species